rnacentral:lncRNA from 13 species
UACUAUCAAUAGACAUACACGUACCAAUUGUUUUGAAAACUCAGUAUAGUAGUUGCAUAUCGUUUAAAAUAGGGCAUUACGUACCCAGAUAAAAUGCGUAACAGAUGUCAUAUUUAUAUAAAAACUACUUGUGUUUGCGGAACGUUUUACAUUCUAAUAUAAAUAUGUUUUUUGUAAUAGACAACUAACAAUAAAUCUAAUGUGUCAAAAGAAAAAGAUUUAAAAAUUAUGAUGGAAAAAAAGACGAUAAAGGAAAUAUAAUACAUGAUCAGGUUGAAACUUUAAAGAAACAGAUACGCGAUUUCAAAUCACAAAAUGAGAAAUUUCUUGCGGAAAAUAUUAAGUUGAAGAAAA